UCUCCAAAGGCCAGUCAAGGAACCAUGAAAUCAGCAGAGACAAGUUUGGCCGAAAGGGAGUGUAACAAGAAUCCUCCCGACCAAGCAGACUUCUCUGCCUUUCCAGACCUUUGAAAGACUGGUUCUGCAGCACCUCAGGCCAACGACUGCCUGGACCCACCGUGAGCUCUGUGAGGAUCAUCUCUGACUUCUCCAGCUCUUUCGACAUUGGCCUCUCUGGCUGGCAGAGGAGCGCUCUGUGAUGCAACGAUACUGUCACCAUUUCUGUUCACCCUCUACACCUCUGACGUUUGCUUCAACUUACGAACGUGCCACCUACAGAAGUUCUUUGAAGAACAUCCAAGAACUUCUCAGGAGCACUUCCAGUCACUAAUCCAGCCCUGUGCAUCAAAGCCCUUGGGAGGCUCAUUUGUGCCAUCAGACAUCUGACUCCACAACGCCACCGCAUGCAGUACUUCCCACUUCCACUGAGACUACCUGUCAAGAACAACUUUCUUUUUUAUGCACAAUACCUUGAAACAUUGCACAUGUAGAUUAUUGCUUUAUUGUAUAUUUUUUAUUUUAUUUUAUUUUAUUUUUAUCCUUUUCUGCUCUUUGCACUACAUAUCCCCAUGUGCCGAAUUUGAAUUUCCCCUACUGGGGAUCAAUAGGGUGACAUUUUAUUUUAUCUUAUGUUAGUUUUUAUGUUUUGUUUUUUAUGUAUGUGUAUGAUUCCGUAUGUAUGUGUAUGUAUAUAUCUAAAUGUAUGUAUGUGUGUAGAUAUCUAUAUGGAUGUAUACGUGUAUGUAUGUGCGUGUUUAUAUUUUUGUUUGUGAAGCACUUUGUAACUGGAUUGUGUUGUAUAAAUAAAGCUUUACUUAAAGAA